rnacentral:rRNA from 1 species
CAGUAGCCGCGGUAAUACGAAGGGGGCUAGCGUUGCUCGGAAUGACUGGGCGUAAAGGGCGCGUAGGCGGCGGCCAAAGUCAGGCGUGAAAUUCCCGGGCUCAACCUGGGGGCUGCGUUUGAUACUUGGUUGCUUGAGUGGGGAAGAGGGUCGUGGAAUUCCCAGUGUAGAGGUGAAAUUCGUAGAUAUUGGGAAGAACACCGGUGGCGAAGGCGGCUCACUGGACCGACAUUGACGCUGAGGCGCGAAAGCGGGGGGAGCAAACAGGAUUAGAUACCCCCGUAGUCCCUGUCUCUUAUAC